rnacentral:rRNA from 1 species
UACAGAGGGGGCAAGCGUUGUUCGGAAUUACUGGGCGUAAAGGGCGCGUAGGCGGCCUGUUAAGUCGAACGUGAAAUCCCCGGGCUCAACCCGGGAACUGCGUCCGAUACUGGCAGGCUUGAAUCCGGGAGAGGGAUGCGGAAUUCCAGGUGUAGCGGUGAAAUGCGUAGAUAUCAAGUGGAACACCAGUGGCGAAGGCGAGUCCCUGGACAUUUCCUGACACUGAGGCACGAAAGCUAGGGGAGCAAACAGG